UGUGUAUCCCUUUCUUUAAAAAUUAAUAUUAAUAGUUUGUAUAGUUUAGUAUGAGAUCUUAAUUAGGCGGCAACUGUCUGUAUUAAUUAUUAUCGACAACGAAACGUCAGAAGCCCUAAAGAAUAUAUCGGUGACAAUAAUGAGCGUAUUGUAUGUUUAUAAUGAACGACACAAAUUUUACAAGUUUAUGUUACAUAUUUUUAAGGAGGGUUUCAAGAUAUUUUCCCGUUGGGAUGAUAUUAUGAGAUUUCACAAAGAUUCCGACAGAAUUCAUUAACAGCAACACCGAACAAAAGAAGACAAUAAAGAAAGGUUUUGAAAUCUGAUUGAAGUUUUUUCAUGCUUACUCCUCCUCUAACAUUCAAGCGGGUACGUAAAUAACAUCUUGGAGAUAAUUUCGCAUAAAUUAAUUCUUAGCGUAAUCUGCGGAUAAGAUGUUCGUUCAAAUUUGUCGGAAAAUAUGUCCGGUGGUCGUGUGUUUGCAAAUUAGCGGUGCAAGAACUUCAAAUGGAGAAUUAAGAAGAAAGAAGAGAUGAUUUUAGUCUUGACAAUAUCAAAUAUGGACAUAAUGGGAAAAGGAAUUGAAGGAAAAAACAAAUAUGAUAACCAGCGAGUAAACUAAUUUCCUAAGCAUUUAUCAUUAUGUAAGAGGAUUCAUAAUUGCUCUACUACCGAUGCGAGAUGGAAUUUUGGCUACAGCCGUAUAAAACUAAAAGCCGCUGCAACCCUAGCAUAGAUCCUACUUUGUGUGGCCCCCAAGUUAAAACCCGUGUCCAAAAUGUCACUUACAGUUUAAAAUCUUCACGAAUGUAUGGAUGGUUUUCACAAAACUGAAGGAUGCUCUUGCUUACCAUAUCAGAAACAAACACUUUCCUGUUUCACGUCGUCACGCAAAGGAAAUUUUUCUCUUGUCGAAACUUGACAUGAACAAAUAUUUUUGGUUUGGCAGAUAAGAUCAAUGAUCCUGUAAAAACAGUUUCCCCUGGUAUUCGUGGUUUUUUUGUUUGCUUAUAACACAUGAACAUUUUCUUCGUUUAUUUAAAAGAAAAAUAUGUGUCGUUAACGCAAAACGUCCAAUAAAAAAACGUUAUUUUCCACUUUGUCUUGAAAGAUUACAACGUUGGGGUAGACGAGACAAUAACACGUCAUGUACCUCGCUUAUGUCAAUGUUUUUAUACGAAGCAGAAAUCAGCACAUUUCUCAACCCUAUGACUUCGCAAUUUUUCUUUGUGUAAAUCUACGCAGUCAGUUGCAUCAUCAAUUUUUUUCCCGCCAUAUCCAACGACUCAUAUUGUAAAAUUAAAAGAGUGAUGCAAAUUUGCAAAAAUGAUAAUUAUGUACAGAAAUUUUAAUCCUUCGCGCCAUUUCUCAUCAAAAUCAGUAACUCUUUAGUAAUAUUUACUUUGCAGAACUUGCAACCUAAAAUGAUAAACCUAUUCUCGUUGAUGUGUAGAUUUGGCCUGAUUUAAUUUGCACUUCCUAUGAAUGGCUGACUAUAAUGUUUCAUGAUGUAAUGUCCCACUUGUCUAUGUUGAAAUAUUAUUUUGGCAUGUUGAUGUUGAGGUUAACUUAGUGCUUUUCACCGGAUAAAAUUCUUACUUGCGCAAAAAACGUGCAUAUCGUCACAUCAAUCGCAAUAAGUGGUAAAACGGUUACAUAAUGUAGGCACAUGUCAGCUACGAAGAGAGAAUAUUGGACAGUUUUCAGCGACUGUUUUGAUUGUCCGAUUUAGCUUUUUAUCAAGUGAGAUUGUAUUGGUUGCAUGGUCACACUCUCUAUGUUAGCGUUGGUAGCAAUCUCCUUUGGGAAUUAGAUAAAGAAUUAUUGUACAGAUAAUUAUUUAGAUAUUUAAAAAAUGUAAUGAAAUUAACUGUCCAGCUUUGUAAUUAUAAUCAAAGUAUGUAUGGAUGCGCUCUCUUCA